rnacentral:rRNA from 1 species
GGGCCCGCACAAGUAGUGGAGCAUGUGGUUUAAUUCGAAGAUACGCGCAGAACCUUACCAACACUUGACAUGUUCGUCGCGACUUUAAGAGAUUAAAGUUUUCGGUUCGGCCGGACGAAACACAGGUGCUGCAUGGCUGUCGUCAGCUCGUGUUGUGAAAUGUUGGGUUAAGUCUCGCAACGAGCGCAACCCCUAUCUUUAGUUGCCAGCAUUAAGUUGGGCACUCUAGAGAGACUGCCCGGGUUAACCGGGAGGAAGGUGGGGAUGACGUCAAGUCCUCAUGGCCCUUAUGCCUAGGGCUACACACGUAAUACAAUGGUACAUACAAAGGGAAGCGACCCAGUGAUGGUAAGCAAAUCUCAAAAAGUGUAUCUCAGUCCGGAUUGGGGUCUGCAACUCGACCCCAUG